rnacentral:rRNA from 1 species
UACGUAGGGCGCAAGCGUUAUCCGGAAUGAUUGGGCGUAAAGAGCUCGUAGGCGGUUUGUCGCGUCUGACGUGAAAGUCCGGGGCUCAACUCCGGAUCUGCGGUGGGUACGGGCAGACUAGAGUGAUGUAGGGGAGACUGGAAUUCCUGGUGUAGCGGUGAAAUGCGCAGAUAUCAGGAGGAACACCGAUGGCGAAGGCAGGUCUCUGGGCAUUAACUGACGCUGAGGAGCGAAAGCAUGGGGAGCGAACAGG